CAACAGAAAUGUAUUUUCUCACAGCUCUGGAGGCUAGAAGUCUAAGAUCAAGGUGUUGGCAGGUUUGAUUUCUCCUGAGGCCUCUCUCCUUGGCUUACAGAUGGCCACUUUCUCACUGUGCCUUCACAGGGCACCU
rnacentral:miRNA from 1 species